CCCUUAGACGUUCUGGGCCGCACGCGCGCUACACUGACGAAGGCAACGAGCUUUCCUUUACCGAAAGGUACGGGUAAUCUUUUGAAACUUCGUCGUGCUGGGGAUAGAUCCUUGCAAUUUUUGAUCUUAAACGAGGAAUGCCUAGUAAGCGCAAGUCAUCAACUUGCGUUGAUUACGUCCCUGCCCUUUGUACACACCGCCCGUCGCUACUACCGAUUGAAUGGUUUAGUGAGGGCCUCGGAUUGGUCUCGGCCCGCUCUUUACCGGGCGGCGCCGUUGGUCGAGAAGACGCUCGAACUUGAUCGUUUAGAGGAAGUAAAAGUCGUAACA
rnacentral:rRNA from 1 species